UGAGUAAUGUCUGGGAAACUGCCCGAUGGAGGGGGAUAACUACUGGAAACGGUAGCUAAUACCGCAUAACGUCUUCGGACCAAAGUGGGGGACCUUCGGGCCUCACACCAUCGGAUGUGCCCAGAUGGGAUUAGCUAGUAGGUGGGGUAAUGGCUCACCUAGGCGACGAUCCCUAGCUGGUCUGAGAGGAUGACCAGCCACACUGGAACUGAGACACGGUCCAGACUCCUACGGGAGGCAGCAGUGGGGAAUAUUGCACAAUGGGCGCAAGCCUGAUGCAGCCAUGCCGCGUGUAUGAAGAAGGCCUUCGGGUUGUAAAGUACUUUCAGCGGGGAGGAAGGCGGUGAAGUUAAUAACUUCACCGAUUGACGUUACCCGCAGAAGAAGCACCGGCUAACUCCGUGCCAGCAGCCGCGGUAAUACGGAGGGUGCAAGCGUUAAUCGGAAUUACUGGGCGUAAAGCGCACGCAGGCGGUCUGUCAAGUCGGAUGUGAAAUCCCCGGG
rnacentral:rRNA from 1 species